UCAUUAAGUAGAAAUGCUACUUAUUUCUAAUAAAUGUUCAUAGUAAGAUAACAAAUACAAAAUAUUCUUAGCAAUAGGUUGAUUAAAACUGGCCACUAAAGCAUAACAGCACUUGAAAGUAAAAACAGAUUUUGCAGAAGUGGGGCAAACUUCGUAAGUUUGCUUUUUCUGAAUGAAUUAACAGUGGUGAAGUGGUAUAGGUACUGGAAUCUUAAAGAAGUUGUUGUCUUGAUGACUUCAGAAUAGCCUAGAGUACCUACUAGAACAUAAUUUGGCCUUGGACUUCUGAUAACCCUUUAGUGCCUUUCAGGUACAGGUUUAUACUUUUCUUGAAAUUUACAUAUUCUUACUUGGGAAUCUUUAUCUGAAUGGAAGUUUAUGCCUAAAUGCUGUUUCUUAGAUGACUGAAAGAUGUGAUGGUUUACAGUAGAAUUAUGAUAGGUGAUUAAAAAUGAGGGGUUUAUUUCUGUCUGAAGAAUUCGACACAUUUGUGACAUUCAUUUAAGUGCCCAAAAUCUCUUAAACCAUUUGAACAAAUCUUUUCACUUACACAAAUACUCAUUUGUGUAACCUGACCAGAAGUUACCUGUGUGGGUACCUGACUAUCCAAAGUACUAAGCUGGCUUCUCACUUUAUUGUUAUUUGUUUUGUCUACUUAAAGAAUUGUUGUUGUUUGUACUUGUUACUUGAAAUUCUGGUGUUUACCAGAGUUGCUGAGGGAGCCGUCUGAAAUUCAAGUAGCUGUUGACAUAUUGCAAUAAUAUGCUAAAAAAAACACUACUUCCUUUUUAACUGUGUACUACAAACUUCGAGGUUUUUUGUUUUUUUGUUGUUUUUUUUUUUU